GAGGGUGUAGCUCAGUGGUAGAGCAUGUGCUUAGCAUGCAUGAGGUCCUGAGUUCAAUCCCCAGUACCUCCA
rnacentral:tRNA from 1 species